ACAGGCACACAGGAGUUGAUUAGAUAGGUUCUGACCUUAGAUCUGGUCGGGGGCGGAUACCACUUCGCAGCCGGAUGUUGAUGUUGCCUGAUGUACGAGGAAGCGAAACAGCUGUGUGCACACUCGGGUGGCGGUGACAACGCAUGGGAACCGAUUCGGCGAGGAUGAGGUCGUUGUGGAGAUCCCUGGCUGCGUGGCACUUCGUCAUGUCGUGGACUUGGUUGGAUUGAUUUGUUGUUCUAUGCACAGCCGAUUCUAACUUUAUCAGGUUUUCGGAGUGUCACUCAUUCCUCAGGAUAGAUGUUUCCAUGUAGAUUUAACCCUCUGCGUUGACGUUCGUUAUACACAUUGGGAAACUGUAACCGUGUUGAUGCCUACAACUUGUGUGAUCGAUGCUCGCAGGAAUUGAAAUGCUGGUAUAUAUUUUGACCGGCACAAUCUUAGAUGUAUCUGAGUUGCAUAUGUAUUGAUCGAAGAUAAGUAAUUUCUGAAUUGGUGACAGUUUCCACGCACACAUCAUUGCAGUAUGAAAGAGCAUGCAAGUGUGAAAUGAAAUCAAUCGUAAUUCACAGUUUGUGAUAAUCAGGAGAUUCCUUCUAGAUUGCAGGAUACACAUGUCCGUGUAGGAAGUGUGGACCUAAGAUGUGAAUGUUCUGUUGUUGUUGAGCAGGGCAGCUGGUUGUGUUAAGUUCUUCUGUGGAAUUCACUUCAAUGAAGUGGAACCGAGAUGUUUCGAAUAGGGUCCCUGAUAUGUUUUUCUGCAGAGUAGUACAACUAAGUUAUUCACACGUCCAGACGACAAAGCGAAGGCUUCAACGCGAAAGGUUCCCUGUGGUACGUAAUAUUGAUCCAACCAGGGAGACGAACUCGUGUGAGAAUUGGAUGGAAGAGAAUUGAUGCGAACUUGGUUGCAACUGAUAACCGGCAGCAAAGGCUUGAUCAAUAUUAAGCGCAAGGCAUNNNNNNNNNNNNNNNNNNNNNNNNNNNNNNNNNNNNNNNNNNNNNNNNNNNNNNNNNNNNNNNNNNNNNNNNNNNNNNNNNNNNNNNNNNNNNNNNNNNNUUUUUUUUUUUUUUUUUUUUUUUUUUUUUUUUUUUUUUUUUUUUUUUUUUUUUUUUUUUGAAUCUAGCUGGUACCCUCUAGAUGGUGGCAAUCCCACGCAGCCGGCUGCGAUAUACUCAAACUAACGCCGUGCGUUGCAGCCAGCAGGAAUGCCAAUGUGAUGCCGUCCAGGCAAUGCUGCUCCAACAUCGCCGGCAUGGGCAAUGGGCUUCCGGGAGCCAAGUGUCUGUGUUCUCUCCUGAGCCACCCUCUGGCCAGGUCGCAAGGGGUGGCUCCCCGGAUCGCUCUUGGCAUCCCCCAGAAAUGCCGCAUCGCCGUCCCGAGGGGCUUCGUGUGCCAAGGUACGCUUUCACGCCUCCUCCCGCGCUGAUGCAGUGUCUGUGCCUUCCAGCCGCCCGGGCGCCCCAGAGGGUGGGCUGUAGCAGCGAUCUCCCCCGCGUCAUGUGGUGUUGUGUUUGCUCCUGCUGCGUUGCGCUGCGUUGCGUUGCCUUGGGCGUGUGGGCUGUGAACAUGCUGGCGACAGUGGGUCGGGGAGUGCACCGCCUCGUUGGAUGCGGAGCCGAUCGCGAUGAUGGGCGGCCACUCACGCCUUUGAGUUGCGUGCUGUGCAGGAAUUCGCGUCCCCGGAAGCUGAGCUCUCAGGGUCCAAGCCGGAGCACCGCCGUGGCCACGUGGGGUGGGAGUGGACGGAAAGCUUCUGAGCGUGCAGCCGAGUAGAGUGGCAUUGUGUACUCCGCUGUGAAAGCGGGACAAUUAUUUAUAAAUGUGACAACGUCUUUCCGUGACAUCCGGCACGCAGUGCUGGUGUGACAGCCUUUGUAAUCGUAAUGUGGUGUGCGAUGCGUCCAACGCUGGUCCAGUCGUGUGGUGUGUUGUUGUACCCGUCAGGAUACGGUGCAUGGGAGUGUGUGUGAGACACAGAGCAAACGGCAUCACGCUGCAGGGGUUGUGGAAUUGUGGCAGCAUGGAACUGAACUGCGCAGCACCGGAUUUAGUCCGUCCGGGUGGAAACAAGACAGGCACACAGGAGUUGAUUAGAUAGGUUCUGACCUUAGAUCUGGUCGGGGGCGGAUACCACUUCGCAGCCGGAUGUUGAUGUUGCCUGAUGUACGAGGAAGCGAAACAGCUGUGUGCACACUCGGGUGGCGGUGACAACGCAUGGGAACCGAUUCGGCGAGGAUGAGGUCGUUGUGGAGAUCCCUGGCUGCGUGGCACUUCGUCAUGUCGUGGACUUGGUUGGAUUGAUUUGUUGUUCUAUGCACAGCCGAUUCUAACUUUAUCAGGUUUUCGGAGUGUCACUCAUUCCUCAGGAUAGAUG
rnacentral:lncRNA from 1 species